rnacentral:sRNA from 1 species
UGACAUUUUGUUUGUAGGCGCUCAAAAGUACGAAACUAUAUUUGUGUUUUUGCGGUUUCCCUUUGUAUUUGUGCACUGCACACAUCAACACACCAACACACACACACAUACACUGGAACACUGACAGACUGCCAUUGAGUAGAGUCAAAUGCAUGUGCAGAACAUUCCACAUCAUGUCAAGCGGAAAGGAGCUCCCUCUCCAGAUUCGUUUUAUGAAGGUUUAACAACUUUUUGAUACAAAUUUGGCUGCCUUUCUUUUCGCCUGCAUGCCUGUGCCAGCCUGCAUCUGCGAGUUUUCGUUGAUUUUUGUAGUCCAAGGACACUGCAUUGUGGGCGUACAUUUUUUGGCAGAUGUGAGAGUUUGAGGGGCUGUAAAACCUCGCAUUUUAUUGGUAAAGACAUUGAAAUUUGUGAUCAGUCAAAUAGACAGUGCCCGAACGAAACCUAGCUGCUAGAUUCAUGAUUGUUUGACACUCUGGAAUAUUUAGUGCGACACUCGACUUGUAAAACAUCAAACCGAAAAACAUGAUUAAAAGAAUUCCAAAUUCUACGUUUGUGUAGUAUUGUUGGCUUUCGUCAGACAUACAUACAUAGGUUAAGAAUAAAGUGUAUUUUUAAUAUCUAACGUACGACGCCCUUUACUAUAGAGCAGGUUGGGAAAUCAAUUCAGACUUAAAUCAAAACAAUAUUUAGAUCAUCUCGCAUCUAUGUAACAAAGUAUGUUUUGAUACGAAGAGUUUUAGCACAACUGAUUGAAAGUGCCACGAAGAAAAGAAGAGAUGUGUGUAUAUCUGCUUAUGGAAAAUAAUCUCAGCCUACAAUAGUGGGCGAAGAAGGAAUUGUCAUAGUCUCAAACCUUGGACAACGUACACAUCAUGCAACUAGUCAUAGUGUCCGUUUAAAUAUAACGCGCCAUUUGAAGCCGAAGUUGUUAAUCAACCCGGCUUCUAUACUAUUUUAAGCUAUGUAUAAGAUCUUUUUCGUUCGUGAUUAGACAAUUGAACCAGAUAAGCGCUGUGCACUGAACGUGAAAUGAUAAAACGAUUUUAAAAUCUUCUGCAUGGCAUAUUGAAUUAGUCAGAUUGUUCAAAACCGCAUUGGAUACAAUGCAUUCCGAUGACCAGAGCAGACAAAAGACCCGAUCCAUGGAGGCCAUGGAAGACAAUUCCAUUCUCCAACUAUCAAUGAAAUCCCAGUAGUAUUUGUUGACGAGAAUGUGAAAUCUCGCGAUAUUGUUCUCAGGUGCCUCGAGAUGGUGGACAAUUGAAACGCGUGUACGAGAUUCUUCGGUUGUAUCGUGUUGUGGAGAGGAUGGAUAUCACUUCAAUAUAAAGAUGGUCAAUCCAACGGCAGCUCUGGAGUUGUUGCUCUGAAUUGCUGCGAAAGAAUUAAAAGAUUGCCUUAAGCAAAUCUA